UACGGAAGGCAGCAGUGGGGAAUAUUGCACAAUGGGCGCAAGCCUGAUGCAGCCAUGCCGCGUGUAUGAAGAAGGCCUUCGGGUUGUAAAGUACUUUCAGCGGGGAGGAAGGCGGUAAGGUUAAUAACCUUAUCGAUUGACGUUACCCGCAGAAGAAGCACCGGCUAACUCCGUGCCAGCAGCCGCGGUAAUACGGAGGGUGCAAGCGUUAAUCGGAAUUACUGGGCGUAAAGCGCACGCAGGCGGUCUGUCAAGUCGGAUGUGAAAUCCCCGGGCUUAACCUGGGAACUGCAUUCGAAACUGGCAGGCUAGAGUCUUGUAGAGGGGGUUAGAAUUCCAGGUGUAGCGGUGAAAUGCGUAGAGAUCUGGAGGAAUACCGGGUGGCGAAGGCGGCCCCUGGGACAAAGACUGACGCUCAGGUGCGAAAGCGUGGGGAGCAAACAGGGAUUAGAUACC
rnacentral:rRNA from 1 species